UGCGGAUCAGCCUCAGGAAUGGAGAUGUACGAUGUACUUCAAUCCCUUUCUGCCUUUUCACCGGGGGUGUUUUAAGCCUCCCUCCCGCCUCAAUUGGUUAACGGAGGGUAACCAAACGCUAGCCGGUAGACUGAUAAUGUCAACACAUGACGCGGCGAAGGUAGAUCUCAGAUUUCUAGGUGGGGAAAAGGAGAGAGAGGAAGAGACAGAGGCGCCAAAGGUUCCUGUCCAGAGAGACGGAAACUGGAAGAGGACGAACAAGACAGAGUAAAUGUCUUGAUUAAUUUAAAACUUAGUUGUAAUUGCUUCUUUGCCAAUGAUAGUCUACGGAAUUGUGAAGUCCAUACAUUUGCAGCAAUUUAAGACCCCAGGAUGUGAGGUGGUCCCAGGAGAAGAAUCAUCAUGGAAACGAAGUGGAAACUGACCAGUGGACUCAGACACCACUCAGUGCCAACAGUGGGGGGAUAGAACAGACAGAGCUAACUUUGGGGACCAGGGAGGAGAGUCACGGCCGACCUGCAGUUCUGAACAGGAACCCCAACCAGACCCGGUUCACAUCCUCCCUUUCCUUCAGACUCUCCUCUCAACACAGCAAGAAAAACGACCUGGAAAAACUAGAGUCCACAGCUCAGAGGGAACACUGUCUACACAGGUGAGACAGAGCAUUUUUAAAGCUAGAGUUUAUUGCCUUAGUUAUGGGAUUUUGCAUUAUACAGUGAUGCAUUUUUUUAUUGCCCCUCUCUUAGACACUAUCCUUCUUUUACCAUCUAUGUAUGUGUACAGACAGAAUUGCACCAACACGGCUCCAUAAAUCAAUAUGGUUUAACCAAGGUUAAUUAGUUCCUUGGACUGCUGUACUGAGGAAAUACUUCAGAUUGAUUUCUUAGGUGUGUGUGUGUGUGUGUGUGUGUGUGUGUGUGUGUGUGUGCAUGAUUCUGUGCGCGCGUGUGUAAUAUGUGUCAGGGAUGAAUGCAACUCUUAUCAGUACGAGUCAUUUAUCAAACACUGUCCCUUAGUAACAGACGACCUUUACCUGGCUGUAUUGUCACCUAUCCAUGUCAGCUCUUAAGACUGAGGCUACACACCUCUCAACAUCAACUUCUAUACUAGCACUGUGGCCCUGUGUUUGUGUGUGAUGUCUUUAUUACAAGUGUGAUGUUAAGGCAUUCAGUUAAUAGUUCCACUAUUGCUAACAUAGCCCAGGCAACACCACUGGAAGUAGUCGGGGGCGGGGGUGCUGCUGUGAUGUUUUCCACGCAGAAAGAAAAACAUUGCCUCUGCUGAAGAUGUCUAUAUGUGGUCUGCUAAAACAGGACUAUUAAAGGCCCUGUUUACUAACUAAAUGUACUUGUAGUUGAGUGUUUACCAGCAUUUGUAACUUCUGAGUUUGAUAAUUAUCUGCACCAAACAGUUAAUCUGAUUAAUACUGUUGGAAUAUAAAAAUAGUUGCUUGAUAUGUUUUCCAGUUUCUUGAAAUACUUUGCAAAUGCAACUUAUUUCUUUGUGAACUGAAAUGGUCUAUUCAUUCCUUUUCAGUAGACACUCUUACCCAGAGCAACUUACAGUAGGGAGUGCAUACAUUUUCAUAGUUUUUCGUACUGGUCCCCUGUGGGAAUCAAACCCACAACCCUAGCAUUGCAAGCGCCAUGCUCUACCAAGUCAGCCACAUCAUCACAAACCACUUGAUGUCUCAAUGUACUCAAUUACUCUACUGUACAUUGUUUUUCUUCAUGGUGAUGGAAAGUCUAGUUACAAUCCUAGAUGACCAGCUUGUGUACAAUACAGUAAUGUACAUUAUGUGGUUUGUAACGAUGGUAAAUUAAUACUGCACAAAAAGUGGUUGUUUUCCAUGUUAUUUGAUGAAUAAAAACAUUUACUUUCGUAUGGAUGUUUUGUGUCUUUGCCCAUAACUUUGCACCUUUUCGAUGUAAACAUUUGAGGACAGGAUUGAGUUAUUUCUGGAUUCCAUUAGAAUGACUAUUGCAGAGAAAGGGACAGGGCAACAACUCUUACAUUCCCAAGUAUUGAAUCUAGCAAAAGACUCUUCUUAAUUAUACAACUUUUUUUGCUGGUAAAAAAAAUGUUUUGCUCAUGCUACAGGCAUCUAUAUCAGUCUGCUAAUACUAGUAAAGGCCCAGUGCGCUACUUUUGUGAAAAUGUUUUAAAUAUUCAAUAUUUUUUUAAUUAAAAUAUAUUUAGAAUUCAGAUUUGAGGGGUUUAUGGGCAUAUUGUUGUAUAUGCUCCCAUUGCUCAACACUCACACGCCCUGCUGACUGAUAUACCAGCUAAAACACCAAUACAGACAGCGACCUGAUAACAAUCUAACAUAAAUAUGCCCAUAACUCCCACAAUGCUGUUACACCCCUACUUCCCGCGGCUAUGAGCCCAGGUAAACAUAAAUCAUGUAAAAAGGGAGAGCUGGAGGAUAGACAAGAAGGAGAUAAUGAGCAAUGGAGGUCAAGAGAGAAGAUGGAAUGUAGUUGAUCCUGUGGAUCAGGGUGAAUGAAAAACUUGUGACACCUAUAAUCUUUACAAAAACAUUAACACCCAGGAGGUGUGUCUGCAUGCUUGUGUGUCUUAUGUAUUAUGGUAUACAGUGCAUUCGGAAAGUAUUCAGACCCCUUGGCUUUUUCCACAUUUUGUUAUGUUACAGCCUUAUUCUAAACUGGAUUCAAUCACUUUUUUCCCCUCGUCAAUCUGCCCACAAUACCCCAUAAUUACAAAGCAGAAAUUGGUUAUUUUUUAUAUUUUAUUUUGAAAAUUUAUUCAACUUAAAACACAUCAAAUUUACAUAAGUAUUCAGACCCUUUUACUUAGUACUUUGUUGAAGCACCUUUGGCAGCAAUUAUAGCCUUGAGUCUUCUUGAGUAUUCUUCUCUGCAGAUCCUCAAGCGCUGUCAGGUUGGAUGGGAAGCGUCGCUGCUCAGCUAUUUUCAGGUCUCUCCGGAGAUCAAAUCAAAUUUUGUCACAUGCUCCGAAUACAACAGGCCUUACCGUGAAAUGCUUACUUACAAGCCCUUAACCAACAAUGAAGUUCAAGAAAUUGAGCUAAGGAAAUAUUUACUAAAUAAAGAAAAAAAUUGAAUAAAAGUAACAUAAUAAAAUAACAAUACUGAGGCUAUGUACAGGGGCUACCAGUACCGAGUUAAUGGGGUAAAGUGAUAAUGCAUAGAUAAUAAACAGUGAGUAGCAGCAAGGGGGAGGGGGGGUCAAUGUAAAUAGUCCGGGUGGCCAUUUGAUUAACUGUUCGGCAGUCUGUUGGCUUGGGGGUAGAAGCUGUUCAGGAGCCUUUUGGACCUAGACAUGGUGCUCCAGUACUGCUUAUUGUGCGGUAGCAGAGUGAAUGGUCUAUGACUUGGGUGACUGGAGCCGUUAACCAUUUUUGGGGCCUUCCUCUGAUACCACCUAGUAUAUAGGUCCUGGAUGGCAGGAAACUUGGCCCCAGUGAUGUACUGGGCCGUAUGUACUAGUCCACGUUCAUCUCCUGUGUCUUGCUCACUUUGAGGGAGAGGUAGUUGCCCUGGCACCACACUGCCAGGUCUCUGACCACCACAUUAUAGGCUGUCUCAUCUUUGUUGGUGAUCAGUCCUACCACUGUUGUCGUUAGCAAACUUAAUGAUAGUGUUUGAGUCGUGCAUGACCAUGCAAUCGUGGGUGAACAGGGAGUACAGGAGGGGACUAAGCACGCGGGGCUCCCGUGUUGAGAAUCAGCGUGGCAGAUGUGUUGUUGCCUACCCUUACCACCUGGGGCCGGCCUGUCAGGAAGUCUAGGAUCCAGUUGCAGAGGAGGUGGUGUUUAGUCCCAGGGUCCUUAGCUUAGUGAUGAGCUUUGUGGGCACUAUGGUGUUGAAUGCUGAGCUGUAGUCAAUGAACAGCAUUCUCACAUAGGUGCUCCUUUUGACCAGGUGAGAAAGGGCAGUGUGGAGUGGGAUUGAGAUCUGUUGGAGCGGUAUGCGAAUUGGAGUCGGUCUAAGGUAGUCUGCAGGAUCCUGUUGCUGUGAGCCAUGACCAGCCUUUCAAAGCACUUCAUGGCUACCGACAUGAGUGCUACAGGGCAGUAGUCAUUGUUACCUUCGCUUUCUUGGGCACAGGGACUAUGGUGGUCUGCUUUAAACGUAGGUAUUAGACUCAGUCCGGGAUAGGUUGAAAAAUGUCAGUGAAGACACUUGCCAGUUGGUCCGCACAUGCUCUGAGUACACAAUCUGGUAAUCAGUCUGGCCCCGCGGCCUUGUGAAUGUUGACCUUUUUAAAGGUCUUGCUCACAUUGGCUACGGAGAGCGGGAUCACACAGUCGUCCGGAACAGCUGGUGCUCUCAUGCAUGCUUCAGUAAUACUUGCCUCGAUGCAAGCAUAAAAGGCAUUUAUCUUGUCUAGUAGGCUCACGUCACUGGGCAGCUUGCGGCUGGGUUUCCCAUUGUAGUCCGUAAUAGUUUGCAAGCCCUGCCACAUCCGAUGAACAUCAGAGCCAGUGUAGUAAGAUUCAAUUCAAUCUUAGUCCUGUAUUGAAGCUUUGCCUGUUUGAUGGUUCGUCUGAGUGCAUAGCAGGAUUUCUUAUAAGCGUCUGGCUUAGUGUCCCGCUCCUUGAAAGCACGUGUGACAUGCUGGUAGAAAUGAUUUCAAUUUCAAAGUCCCCGACCACUAGGAAUGCCACUUCUGGAUGAGCAAUUUCUUGUUUGCUUAUUGCCUUAUACAGCUUGUUGAGUGCGGUCUUAGUGCCAGCAUCGGUUUGUGGUGGUAAAAGACAGCUACCAAAAAUAUAGAUGAAAACUCUCUUGGUAGAUAGUGUGGUCAACAGCUUAUCAUGAGGUACUCUACCUCAGGCAUUCAAACGGGUUCAAGUCCGAGCUCUGGCUGCACCACUUAAGGACUUUGGCUGCGCCACUCCUGUGUUGUCUUGUCUGUGUGCUUAGGGUCGUUGUCUGUUGGAAGGUGAACGUUCUCCCCAGUCUGAGAACCUGCUCCAGAGUGCUCAGAACUUCAUCAAGGAUCUCUCUGUACUUUGCUCCAUUCAUCUUUCCCUCGAUCCUGACUAGUAUCCCAGUCCCUUCAGCUGAAAAACAUACCCACAGCAUGAUGUGGACACCACCAUGCUUCACUGUAGGGAGGAUGCCAGGUUUCCUCCAGACGUGACGCUUGCAUUCAAGCCAAAGAGUUCAAUCUUGGUUUCAUCACACCAGAAAAUCUUGUUUUUCAUGGGCUGAGUCCUUUAGGUGCCUUUUGGCAAACUCCAAGCAGGCAGUCAUGUGCCUUUUACUGAGGAGUGGCUUCUGUCUGGCCACUCUACCAUAAAGGCCUGAUUGGUGGAGUGCUGCAGAGAUGGUUCCCCUUCCGGAAGGUUCUCCCAUCUCCACAGAGGAACUCUAAAGCUCUGUCCAAGACCCUUUCCCCCCGAUUGCUCAGUAUGGCCGGGUGGCCAGCUGUAGAAUGAAUCUUGGUGGUUCCAAACUUCUUCCAUUUAAGAAUGAUGGAGGCCACUGUUGUUUGGAACUUUUGAUGAUGCAGACAUUUUUUGGUACCCUUCCCCAGAUCUGUGCCUCGACACAAUCCUGUCUCUGAGCUUUACAGACAAUUCCUUCAACCUCACUGCUUGGUUUUUGCUCUGAAAUGCACUGUCAACUGUGGGACCUUUUUUAUAGACAGGUGUGUGCCUUUCCAAAUCAUGUCCAAUCAAUUGAAUUUACCACAGGUGGACUCCAAUCAAGUGUAGAAACAUCUCAAGGAUGAUCAAUGGAAACAGGAUGCACAUGAGCUCAAUUUUGAGUCUCAUAGCAACGGGUCUGAAUACAUAUGUAAAUAAGGUAUCUUUUUUUUAUUUGUAAUAAAUUUGCUUAAAUUUCAAAACUGUUUUCACUUUGUCAUUAUGGGGUAUUGUGUGUUAAUUGUUUCCUCAAUCUAAAUGAAUCAAUUUGAGAAUAAGGCUGUAACGUAACAACAUUUGGAAAAAGUCAAAGGGUCUGAUUCGUUUCUGAAUGCACUGUAUAACCAUUAACAUCCAUUGUAAUGAUGUAUUAAUGUUUUUCUCUACAUUUCCCUGCUGCUCCAGUUCUCAGGGACCUGUAAGGGACACACCUAUAGCUCAAGCACAGGUAAACAUAAAAAACUACAAUUUAGUGGCAACAUUAUUAAUGACACUUUACUUAAUAACACAAUAGACAUGUUAUUAACAGUCAUUACAGUUAAUGUCACCAGUUUGUGUCAUUACAGUGUUGCCAUUAGCCAACAUCAAUUGUCAUGACUGCAAAUGGCAUUUGCUAUAUUAACAGCGCCAUUGAGGCCAUAUUAUGACCGCUUCAAUUAAAUCGUUGGCACAUGAUCAAUGUCAGUUUGAACAUUGUGUAAUCUGAAAAGAACCAUCAUGAAUGCCAGUGUGGGGAGGAGAAAAAUAGUGUUUCUGUGGAAAUCUCAUGUACUUGAAAUAACCUGUUUGUCCAGACGAAUUAUUUUAAUAACAUUUCCAUGGGAACAUGACUCCUGUAAUGCUCCAGUUUCAAUAAGUACACCAUGUCAGAUUAAAUGUGUUGUCACACACAAAUACUCUCCCACUCAUCCUACAAAGCUUUGGGAGGUGUGGAGUGACAAGCCACAGUGUUGACAUAUGAAAACCAUUACGUGCUGCAGUUUGAAGGCAAUGGAUUUGACAUUUCUGACGUUGCAUAACUUUUGGACUAAAAGCAAAAUCGUUCAAUCAUAGAUUCUCUUUUUCAUAUAAAACCUUUGGCUGUGAGGUUAAAGCUUAACAGAUAUGUAUCUAAUUGUUGAUAACAAUAUAAUCUGAUUUGAACUUUGAACUUUCUCGACAGGUGAAAAGAGAAGUCUCACCAUCAUAUUAUUUUGUACCAGCCAAUUGCCCUUCAGACGAAGAGGAAGUGACAUUGCUUCCUUUUAAAGAGGAAGAGGAUUCCAAGACAGCCAUGUUGUCCUCCACGCUGGUGUCGGUUCUCGCCCCACAGUGGAGUGGGAGAAUACGCAGGAACAAGCGGGGCAUGGCCGGUACAGACAUUGGUGUGUUUGGCAUGGCAACCAGUGAGUCUGGACAGGAGAUCCAAGGUAACGGACAGGAAGUGAGUGAGGGGGGUGUGCUUUUGAAGCCGCAAGUCCCUCUCGAGACAGACUCUGUAGGACAACGACAACAACAACAGUUUCUGGAAACCCAGAACCAACGUGUUGGGGAGAGGGGGUUGACCCUUGGAUCACAAGUCCAUGAGAGGGCUUCAACACUGGGUAGCAGCAGAAGCACAGUGGGGGGCUGGUAUGAGGGAAGCACCCCCAGCCUCAAACUGGACAACCCAACAAAGGCCCCAGUUUCUAAGCCUGUCUCUCUGGAUGUGAGUUGGGGGAGGCUGGCCAACAGAGGCGGAGGGGGGGGAGCUGUUUCCCCUGUUACUCCCAGCUCUCCCCUCUCUCCCGACCUGCAUGUACGCAAAGGAAUGUUACAGGCAAGUCGUCAAGGAGCCCAGACAUCAUUGCUGAGUUCCAAACCAACAACCAGUAGCCUUCUUUUCUCUCUGAGAAGGCUCAACACUAUUGCGAGCUCUAUCCACUCAGAGACAAAUAUCUCAUCUCUAACCAAUGACAGAGAUGGAGAGACUUCAAGUCCACACCUCUCUCCAACCACAACCAAUUACAAAGCAUCAGAGACAAUUAGGGCACAUCUUUCCUUAACCUCAUCCAAUGAUGGAGCCAGAGAGAGGUCCAAGUUCCUCCCCUAUUCAGCUGAUCCCACUUACAGGACAAUAGAGAGGUCAAGGCACCUCCCCUUACCAACUUCCAAUCACAGAGAAGCAAAUACACACAGGACACAACUAUUUUCAACCUCGCCCAAUUACAAAGACACAGAGGGCACACCCUUUACCAAACUUCCCCAGACUUCCAGGGCGUAUCCCAACCGAACCUCCCCCAGGAAGCAGACUCUUCUGUUUAGUGGUCUAGAGAGACUUUCCCCCUCAGAGAGACCAGAUGGAACCACGGUUCCCAUCAGUGAUACUCAUCUACCUUCCUCUCCACCGUCCCAAUAUGACCACCUGGAUUUUCAUGGGAGCCAGUCUCUUCCCAGAGGAACCACCCUGAGAUCUACUAGCUGGAGAAAGCACAUUACUCUGAAGGACAGUGUGUCUAAUCCCAGUUCCCCCCUCAGUCCCACUUCCACCACCACUAUCAACAACAACAACAACACAUUCAGCCUCUCAAGCACUUCCAGCAAUAAUAACACGGAUCCCUCUAGCACCAAUGAUAACACUGGUGUCAAUCCCCAAAUCACCAUCAAUAACAACAAUAAUUUAGUCACCCCCAACAAUACCAACCUAAACAGCAAUACUGUCACUGGCAAACACACACCUCAGAGCACCCUUAAAAGGACUUAUGCUCAAGAUAUCCCAGACCAGGAUUCCUAUAGAAUACUCAAAACUCAGAAUUCCCUUAACUCGAAUGACCGACAAUCACAAAAGCCCUAUUGUUUGUCCAAUAUCUCCUUCAGGUCUAACACCAGUAGCCCAGCUAGCUCGAGCACUUUGAGUAACCCAAUAAAGUCCAGCAAGCCUGAUCGCUACAGUAGGCCAUGUAGUUAUGACACCAUCUACACCCCUCUGACCGUAUUUAGCCCCAAGACUCCAACCAGCUCUGAAACCAGUGACACUCCAUCCUCCCUCAGUAGUCAUAGAACCCUUUAUUUGUCCCAUUCCCCGAACCCCUCUUCCAGACAGCUCUCCUUACAAACCAGUAUCGCCUCCACAUCACUCAGUAGACACAGACCCCUCUAUAGUUCCCGCUCACUCAAUACCGCCAGCUCUAUAAGACAAGACCCCCAAAACAGCCCAAAAUCUCCACCCCCAGUCGUCAGAAGCCAGAUUCCCAUAGUGAGUAACAUCCACACCCCCACAUCCCAACUGCAGUCCCCUAAAACUGCUUACACGCCUACCACAACUCCCCAACCACUCCUACUUAAAACCGGCUACGUCCCCAGUAUCCCGACCCGCUACACCCGACCGUUGUCUCCAGACAGCUAUACCCCCAUAUCCCUGAGUAUCCCCACCACCCAGGCCCCCUCCACCCUGCCCCUCUCCCCACCUAGCUCGUCCCCUCUGGUGGAAAGGACGUUCAUAGGCAGCCUAGACCUCUCGCCUAAGAAACACCAGCCCCAAGUGGAAGGGAGGGUAACAGCACAUAGAGCGUGGCAGGAGUCACAACUAAGGCUGUCACAGUCUCAUUCACCUCAGAGUCCUCUGUCCCCAACCAGACCCCUCCGUAGUGUAGGGGGUCCCGCCAUCUUCUCCUCCCUGAGAUCGGGCAGCCCAACCUGGGCUACGUCACCUCUGUCUCCCCCAACCCUCAGGACCACCAAACUACAAGUUUGGAGGGGAACCUCGAUGCAUAACUUAUCCAUAAUAUCUGAUACAUUGGUGAAGGAGGGAGGGCAAGCUCUCUCAGAGCAUGUUAGCGACCACACUUCAAACGUCACAGUCAAACACACAGGAAUUGACUCGACCGUAAUAGGAUCACAGAGGAAGACCGCUGCCCCUCUCUCCCUUCCAGAAUUUGGGAGCUUUUCCAAGCCACGAUUUAGCUCCCCGCCCUAUUCCACACUCAAGUCUUCACGCCCAACACAGGGUGAGGUCACACACACAACAUCACACCAACCCCUUCUCUCACCCCCUACCUCACCCCAACACUGCCCCUUCUACGGCCAUCACAGGGCUAGGUCACAGGACAGUUCAAAGAUUGUUGCCUUGGAAAUUGAUCGUGUCAACAACAACUCCAAAGAGACCAGUCAAGAAAAUGUUGAGACACUUGUGUACAGGAUUUCUAAAGUUGAUUCCUCUGCCAUAUUGGACAGUAUUAGGCCUGCACAGCCCUGCUUUCCUCGACGCAAACCAGACACACGAGUCGUCACAGGGAUAAAGUCCAAUGAACUCUGCCGUCUACCUUCACAACACAGCCAGGUGAUUGGAAGUCCCAGCUGUCAAUCAUCCCAAAGCUCCAAUGACAGUGGAGCAUUAGACAUUGAGAAGGUUGUGUGUAAAAGCGAGAGUUUCCCUAAGAGUGCAGCGGCUCCAUUACAAACCCAGAGCCCAAAGAAAGGCUUAUUCUCACUGAGAGGUAAGAGAGACAAUGUUGUUGGUACGCCUGCUACCAAUAUCCCUAGAAACCCAGCGAUGCCUCAGUCUGAGAAACCAAAGAAAGAGUCAGAGAAGGAGCAAAAGGAAAGUAACAAAAUAGACCUGGUGCUGAGUCGACUCCGGCAGACCUUCAGAGUCAAACGUCUCGAUGACGAGAGGAUGAAGAGAACACCCCAGCCUCCUCCUGUCAAUGGAGCCAGUGACAUUAGUGAUGUCACAGAGAGUAGUGGUUCUAGCAAUCAAGAAGAGGAGGAAAAAUGGAGGGAGAAUGAUGGCGUUCACAAACCUUCAAACUCUUUCUGGGCUGGCAGUGAGCACACGUCAGAUUUGAUGAAGGAAAAUGUUAGACGUGAACACUCACAGUUUGAGGGUUUUAAAGACCAUAAAGAGGCUAGAAACAGAGACCAGCCUUGUGUUAUGGAUCUUCCUCAAUUUGAGGCUUACAAGGACGAAAGGAUCACUAAACCCAAACACCAACCUUCUAGUAGCGAGAUCAGCCCAACAAGGCGGCAGUUUGAAGCUUACAAAGAGGAGAGGAUCAGUAGAGCCAGAAAGCAACCUCCUCAGAGAGACUUCAACUCUGUUAUGCGUCAACCCUGGGACCCCAGCCGCUCUGCAACCCUCCCUGCCUACAGAACCUCCUCAGGCAGCACCAGAAACACUUUCUCUGUCUUCCACUUCAGCCAGAAGGACUCUGAGAACGAUAACGUGUUCCACAUUCCCAGGAUUCCUCAGAGGAAGAAGACCACCUCUCUCUGUGAGCCAGGGGACAGGGAGUUCGGUUCCGGUGAUCAGCGUGGCAGUGAGGGACGUCUGGCAUCCUUCUCCUCCUGUGCUGAUCUCAAAUACGGUCUUGAGGCUGGGCGUUCCUUCUCUGUGACUUCUGUGCUCUCCAGCCGACCUUCGGGUCCUGGACGCAUCUCCUCAAGCCCUAGGGUCAGCAGUGUCAGUGACCUCACUUACCCUGCUCUGACCUUUGGAGAAGAGGUCAUGACUUGGGAUGACUGUAGGGUCAAAGGUGAUUGGACAAUACCAAGGUGGGACACACACACAACAACUGGCCACAAAACCAUAGGUGACAGCCAAGCUGUAAAUGACUGGUCUGUCGUUAGUGACAGGACAUCCAGAAAUGAGUGCAAAACAAUCAAAGCUAAUUUUAUAAAUCCACACAAGGCUAGAUCUAAAUCCCUACCCAGAAAUGUAUCCUGGAGUUCAGAGGUCACCGCCCCAUCUCCAACCUCUACCACCACUGGCCGCAUGUGGAACCAUGGCAGCCUGGAGACCUCUCACUCCCUGUGGGAUACAGAGGGUCCUCCAACCCCCCCUCCGUCCCCUCCCUGGUCCCCAGCCUCCAGACGCAUAUCUCGCCCUCCCAGCUCCUCCUCUGCCUCGCCCUCCCCCACAGACAGCAGGGCAUCACAGGACAGCCUGUCCCCUAGGGGGCGCCUACCCUCCAGGGGCUAUGUCUCCAACCUGGCAGUCUUUGAGGAGUCUGACUCAGGCUCUGACAUGGACUCUGACACAACCACAGAUGAUGAAUACUACCUGGCAGGUGAUGGCGGUGAGAAGGAGACUGAACUGUGAGAAGAAAUACUGUAUGGGAUGCAUCUCAAUAUUCUAAAGUGGGUCUGUCUGUCUCCUUUUGGUCUCCUUAUAUAGAAAUGAUACUUAUUUACACACCUAUUUAUGCUCACUAAAACAGACUUGUUAAGUGUGCAUGGCUCUGGGCCUCCCGAGUGGUGCAGUGGUCUAAGGCACUGCAUCGCGGUGCUAGCUGUGCCACUAGAGAACCUGGUUAGAGUCCAGGCACCUGUCCGCGACCGGGGGACCCAUGACGCGGUGCACAAUUGGCCCAGCGUGGUUUGGGUUAGGGCAGGGUUUGACAUGCCGGGAUGUUCCUGUCCCAUCGUGCACUAGCGACUCCUGUGGUGAGCCGGGUGCACACUGUCACAGUCUCCAGGUGUACGGCGCUUCCUCCGACACAUUGGUGCUUCUGGGUUAAGCGGGCAUUGUGUCAAGAAGCAGUGUCGGCUUGGCUGGGUUGUGUUUCAGGGGACGCUUGAGUUGCAGCGAUGGGACGAGACUGUAACUACCAAUUGAAUACCAUGAAAUUGGGGUGAAAAAGGGGUAAAAUAAUGAAAUCAAAUAAAAAGUGCAUGGCUGACAGUAAAGAAGUCAGCACUGUCAGAUCACAGGUUAAUGUCAUGCUCUUAUCCUGGGAUCCAAAGAGCAGCCCACAUGAACUCUACACCAUAUCCAAGAGCAUGGCACUCUGUUUUUUUGUCAUGUCACAGGUUGCUUGGUUACUUGACUUUCUCAUGUCUGAUAUUUGUUUAGUUAUCAGUGGGAAGUGUACUGUAUAUGCUAGGUUAAAGGUAUUUAUGAACAAAGAGAUCUAGCUAUAAAGCUAUCCUAUCCUGUUUUAUUACUUCUGCAGCUGUUCUAACCAUGGCCUUUAUUCACAAAGUGUAUCAGAGUAGGAGUGCUGGUCUAGGAUCAGGUCCCCCCUGUACAUAUGAUCAUAUUCAUUGUGAUCUGAAGCCAAAACUGAUCUUAGGUGAGCACUCCUAAACUAAGACUCCUUGUGAAUACUGACCCUGUUGUGGUAGAGUCCUGUACCCGGGUGAGAGGUAUACCUACCAUACUCAGUUUGGCUGGGGUCACAUUUCAUUGUCAAGUGCUGCCUAUCAAUAUGCUUUAAGCUAGCUUGCUAUAUGAUAUGCAAGAUGAAUAUCUUUGAAUGUUUUAAUUCUCAUGGAAAUCAGUAUUUUCUAUUUUGGUUGUCUUGGAAGGUUUUCCUGAAAUGCAUAUGUGUGCAUUAUAAACAGAUGAUUGUUAUAAAAAAUGUGUGAAUUACUUUUUGUGCAAUUCAACAGUUGUUUUUGGAUCAAGUAUAUGGUAAAUAUAUUUUGAAUGAACAAUAAACCAGUUCUAAUUCUG
ensembl:lncRNA